GUCCUUUAGAGAUAAUUAAAGGUUUAACCUGCCCACUGAAAAAUUUUAAAUGGCCGCAGUAAAUUGACUGUGCAAAGGUAGCAUAAUCAAUAGUUUUUUAAUUGAAAGCUUGUAUGAAUGGUUGGACGAGAUAAAAUCUGUCUUUAAUUAAUAAAUAGAAUUUAAUAUUUAAGUUAAAAAGCUUAAAUAUAAUUAAAAGACGAGAAGACCCUAUAGAUCUUUAUAAUAAUUAAAUUAUUUUUAUUUAAGAAUAGUUAUUAAUUUAAUUUAGUUAUUAUUUUGUUGGGGUAAUAGAUAGAUUUAAAUAAUUCUUUUUAAAAAUAAACAAUAAUUUUUGAUUAAUUGAUCCAUUAUUAGUGAUUAUAAGAUUAAGUUACCUUAGGGAUAACAGCGUAAUUUUUUUAGAGAGUUCUUAUCGAUAAAAAAGUUUGCGACCUCGAUGUUGGAUUAAAAAUUAUUUUAGGUGUAGUAGUUUAGAAUUUUGGUCUGUUCGACCAUUAAAUUUUUACAUGAUCUGAGUUCAGACCGGUGUAAGCCAGGUCGGUUUCUAUCUUUAGUUAAUUAAAAUAUUUUAGUACGAAAGGACCAAGUAUUUAAUAUGAAGUAUUUAUUUAAUUGAAUUG
rnacentral:rRNA from 1 species